GGCGGAGCCACUAGCAGCCGCCCGCCCACUCAGCGGGACCUCGGCGCCCGCGCUGGGAGCUGAGCUGAAGGGCGUUUGGCUCCUCUAUCAGCCAUGCCAGGGUCUGUCCGGUCAGCCUUGCAGUGGCAGUAGUGGCAAUGGUGAGGGUCGCAUCAGCAAGUAGAUACCUAAAAUCCUGAGGGAGCUCAUCCAGGCUGUCACACUACAUUUAGUUGUCAAGUCUCCUUAGUCUCCUCUUGGCGGUGACAAAUUUUCAGACUCUUCUUGUUUUCGAUGACCUUGACAGUAUUGAAGAGCACUGGUCAGUGCCAUUCUCAUCAUACUUAUCAACAUACACUCUUGAUGUUGGCCUUGAUCACAUGGCUGAGGUGGUUUCGGUUAGCUGUCUCCACGUGGGUGACGGGGUGCCGCAUGAAACUACCCCCGCUGGAGCCAACCCCAAGGCAGAGCCACGCUCUUCCCUCGGCCAUCUCCUCUGGCUGCAGACUGUGUAAGGGAGGGCGGCCAGCCCAGGACUGGAUGAUCGAUGUGGUGAGAGCCGGCGGCUGACACCGCGCCGGGAUGCUGCCUGUAAUCCCGCUUCGGCGACGUUGGCACCUUGGGCCCACCCGUGGGCUGCUGUGCUGGCUCACCACUUCCGGGCGAGGAGGGGUCAGCUCUUGAGUUGGGGCUCCAUCGGGGGAAGACUUCCGUUCCAGGGGCUUCCUCCUCGGUUCCGGGGACCAAGGCAGAAGCUGAGCUCCAUUCUCCUGGCUGCUCGGCACCGCAGCAGAGGCCAGCAGGCUGCAGCCCCGGCCCCAAAGGCCAGGCUCCCCCCAGCUCCCUGCUCACCUGUGACUGGCUCCCCAGAUGCAGGUGCCAAUGCUCAAGGCAGCCUCUGGGAACCCUGAGGGGCUUGUGUUUUAAGAAGAGACAGUGGGAGUGUGAUAGCAAGAGGCAGCUGUGCAAAGUGGUCAGGCUGGUCACCUGCAGAGUGAGACCACAAGCACUAGGACCAGCGGGGAGGGCCGGCUCCUGAGCCUCAAAACUGGAACCACGGGGCGGGUGCUUAGGGCAGGCAGAGGCAGGGAACCAGGGCUGGCAGUGCCUGUGGUGUUGAGCACCCGGGGUGAGCUUGGUUGGUCUGCCUGCCAGAGGCACACUAAAUCUGAACCUUCUGCUUCUCCAUUUUCUCAGCUGUAAAAUGGGAAUAAGGAGCCAAUUCACCUCACAGAGCUGCUGUGAGGACAUGAGGUUGGUGCCUGGUAUACUAAAAAUGUAGGGCAGUCCGGGUGGCUCAGUGGCUUAGCCCCGCCUUCAGCCCAGGGCCUGAUCCUGGAGACCCGGGAUCAAGUCCCACAUCUGGCUCCCUGCAUGGAGCCUGCUUCUCCCUCUGCCUG